AAGUAUUUCUUGAGUGCUCCCUGGGCAUAUUGAGUUAGGCUCUGUGGGGUAGGGAAGUAAAAAUAUAUACAUAUAAUACACAUUUGUGCACAGGGAGCUUACCAUCUAGUUCAGCGGUUCUCAACCUGUGGGUCGCGACCCCUUUGGCGGUCGAAUGACCCUUUCACAGGGGUCGCCUAAGACCAUCCUGCAUAUCAGAUAUUUACAUUACAAUUCAUGACAGUAGCAAAAUUAAAGUUAUGAAGUAUCAACGAAAAUCAUUUUAUGGUUGGGGAUCACCACAACAUGAGGAACUGUAUUAAAGGGUCGCGGCAUUAAGAAGGUUGAGAACCACUGAUCUAGUUGCAAAGAUAAAUAACAUCAGGAAGCCCUUGAAGAACAAGCAAGGGAUCAUAGAAGGGAAAAGAAGGGCAGAGAGGGGGAAGGUUGCUGUGGGUUGGAGGAGACCAAGGCCCCAACUUGUUAAGCGAGUGACUAUGGGCUGCUCUCAGAGCUCUGAGUUUCUUUUGCUCCUAAAAACCAGUGAGAGUGCUUGUGUAGAUUCAAGAAAAUGCAUGACAAUCUCUAGUAUAGUCUUGGCACAUAGGAGAUACUAUAUCAGUGUUUGUUGAAUCUAAAUGGGGAGGACUUUUAUUUAUCUGGGUAGAGGAUAUACCUUAAGGUAAAGCAGGAGUAAGCAUGCCUUCUCUACAGUACAACAGGGGUUGUUUGUUGAGAAAUGGUAGGAACUAAGGAAGUAGGGUAAGGACCAAUUAAGAGGACUUUGAAAGCCAAGCCUAAAAGUUCAAACAGAUAUAACAGCAAUAAAGAACCAUUAUUUGUACUUAAGCAAAAAGGAUCUUCUGCUAUUUAAUUAUUCAAAAAGCAUCCUCUCCUAUUUAAUUAUCCCCCCCCCGCAUUUUGUUGGACAUGAUCAAUUAUACCAUCUGCUCUUCAAGGUAACUUGGCAGCUGUUAAUUGACUAACAUUGUUCCCUGAGUUUUGCUGUCAUUGUAGAUGGUUCUAGAACAUAGAACAAAAGGUGUGCAGGAAUAGCUUUCAUAGUACAAGUUCUUUCAGUUAUAGAGGUGGGGGGAGGGAGACUCAAUAUUGACCAACUGGGAAGAAUUAAAUCAGUAUUUAAAUAGUCAUCAAUCAUUUCUGUUUUCUCAGAGAUUACUACAAUGGUGUUUUAUAUAUUUAAAUGUUUAAAUGUAUAAAGCAAGAGCAAUUAAGUAAUUUAAUACCAACAGAAUUUCUACUUUAAAUGGGGAAAGAAUGGACCAUCUCGGUUUGUGGUAAGCUACACAGAUGCUUCCUGUUGCUCUGUCCAGAAUGAUGUUAACAUUAACCUCAAAGGAGGCCGUUAUGCCAGCCUUGAGCUGGAUGGCAAGCGCUGUGUUUCUCUAUGGUACAAGGAGAGAAGAAUUGUUACCCAAAUGUACGAGUAGCAAGUCAGAGUAUUUCAUACAAUAAUCACUGAUGAUGUGAUAUAUUAUUAUUCAAUCCUUAUGGUAUGUGUCUAUUUCUCUGAAAUGAAGCUAAGAAAAUAAUUAUAGUGAAAGAGACUUAGGAUACCACUAGAGGCCCGGUGCACGAAUUCGUGCACAGGUGGGAUCACUCGUGGUGGCCUGCGGUGAUUGGGCCCCAGCUUGUGCCCCCAGGUUCGCAGCCCCAGCUCAUGCCCCAGCCUUGCAGCCCCGCAGCCCUGCCUGGCACUCCCCUGUGGCCUGGCACUGCCUGCUCACCUGCUCAACCAUCCUGCUGUGGUCCUGCUCUCGUCGGGGCCCAUGGGGGCCAGCAGUGCCUCCCGCUGCCAGCGCCACAUUGCGGAUGCCCGUCAUGUUCCACACCGCCCCCUGGUGAUCAGCACAUGUCGUAGCAAGCAGUUGAACUCCUGGUCAAAUGACCACCUGAGGGGACAGUUUGCAUAUUAGGCUUUUAUUAUAUAGGAUUCUUAGCUCAUGUAAAUCCAGGCAGGCCCUUUAUCCUUUUUACCUAAUGGAAGGGAGUUUGUCUUGUCUGAAUCAAUCUGUUCAAAUAGUGUGUUACUGAGUUCGUUUUUGCUUCUAUCUUGACUUCGGUUCAGAAAACUUCUGAAAUGUUUAUUCUUUCAAGCUGUUGAUUUUGUAUAUUUAUAGUUUCACAUGCUAACUCCUUAAUCCUAUAUAAUAAAAGCCUAAUAUGCAAAUUGUCCCCUCAACCAAGGGUUCGACUAGGAGUUUGACCAGGGCAUGGGGCUGGCCGGCCAACCACCCACAGCCUCUCUCCCACCGACCCUGCCCCCAAUUGGUCCCCCCAACCCCGAUCUGGGGCAGAGCCGGCCAAUUUCCCGCGUCCCCUCCCCCCAGCUGGCCUGGCCUGAUUGGCCCCGAUUGGGGCAGGCUGGCCGGACCCCACCCGUGCACGAAUUCGUGCACCGGGCCUGUAGUUUUAAAUAAAAGUAAAAAGCAAACAUCUGCACUGGCUGGGUGGUUCAGUUGGUUGAAGCAUCAUCCUGUACACCAGAAAGUUUCAGGUUUUAUUCCCAGUCAGGGCACAUACCUGGGUUUCGGAUUCCAUCUGCAAUCAGGGUGCGUACCAAAGGCAAACAAUCCAUCUUUCUCUCUCACACUGAUCUUUCUCUCUCCCUUCCCUCUCUCUAAAAAAACAAUAAAGAACAUCCUCGAAUGAGGAUUUUUUUAAAAAAUGCAAACAUCAAAGCAACAACCACAAAAAGUUCCCACAAUGUAGUAAAUUGUCCAAAUUUUCAUUUUUGGAUUGCAUCCAUCAAUAGUAUUUAUUUUCAUUAAUUUAUACUAUUGCAUCAAAAUGCUUACAAUUGUGAAGCAACCAAGUCUUCUAAAAUACUCCACCUCUUCCAAAAUUAAGCUAUCUUAAAGGGGAAAAAAAUUGGAAUUAAAAGAAAAAGAGUAAGCAGCGUAACUUACUAUUUCAGCAAAGACUCUUAAAACACAUUACAUACUUUUCGUGUUACCUAACAAUUGGAAAAACAAGUUCUAGCAAGUGAAUUGCUCAAGAUUACAUAGACGAGCCCAAUUUUAGAGAGAAGUAACUUGAGGUGUGUUUUGUUGUAAUUUUUGUUCUUGUUAACUCAACUACAGACUCGGGUUUCACCAGCUUACCACUAAUGUCCCUUUUCUGCUCCAGGCACUGCCUUUCCUAUCUUUAUGACCUCCAUCCCUUUGAAGAGUUCUGGUCAGUUAUUUUAUAGACUGUCUCUCAAUUCAGAUUUGGCUGAUAUCUUCUCAUGAUUAGGUGAGGCACUCUAUUUUUGGCAAGGAAAUUUCAGAUGUGAUGUGUCCUUUUCAGAGCACCCUAUCAGGGAGGACGUGAUGUAGAUGUGUUAUGACGAGUUGAGUAGUUUUCUACUUCUGCCGUAACAAACCACUACAGACCCGGCACCAUAAGUACCCACUUACAGUUUCUGGAGGUGAGAAGUCCAGGCAAAGUAUGGCUGGGCUCUGUUCAGGGUCUCACAAGGCCAAAAUCAAGGUGUCGGACGGCUGCACCUUAUCUGGUCUUCCUCUCCCCAGCUCGUUCAGGUUGUUGGCAAAGUGCAGUUUCUUGGUUAUAAGACCGAACAGUUUUGCUGAUUGCAGCUGGAGAUCACUCUCAGUUCCUAGAGCCACUCUCCAGGUCUUGCCCUGUGGCCCCUUCAUCUCCAAGGGCAGCAGGAGAAUUGCCCUCCUGUAUGAUCCCUCUCACAGUUUUAAUCUCUGACUUCUAGACCCAGAUUUUAAAAGGCUCGUACGAUUAGGUCAGCCCAAACCAGUUAUCUUUCUCAAAGUCAGCUGUGUCACCUAAUGUACCUAAUCACAGGCUUGAAAUCAAUCAUGCUCACUGAUUAUGAAAGGCACAUAUAGCAAAGGUGGGGACAAAAGGGGGAGGGAGCAGUCAUCAUGGAGCUCUGCCUUCCACACUAGUGAUACUAACCUGAUUGAUUAAGCUGGUGUCUUCUGGGUUUACCACCCUCAGUAAAGUUGUGGUUUUCCAUUUAUAAUUUUAAAAUAUAUCGGGGCAGAGCCCUGGCUGGUGUGUCUCGGUUGGUUGGAGCAUUAUCCUGUGCACCAAAAGGUGGCAGGUUCGAUUCCCAGUCAGGGCACGUACCCAGGUUUUGGGUUUGAUCCCCAGUUGGGGUCCAAGACAAACAGUCAAUGUUUCUCUCUCAUAUAUUUUUCUCUCUCUCCUUCCCUCUCUCCCUUUUCCUUCCUUUCUCAAAAAAACAGUACAUAUAUGGAGAGAUACAUAUGUGGAGAUAAUUUGAACUAUGCAAAUGUUCUAUUUCUCCUCAAACUUUCACUUACUAAUUUUAACUUUCAUCAAUGGAACUGUCCACUUAUUUAUUGUUUGAUUAAUUCAUUGCAAACUCAUAGGUAUACAGUAUAUUUUAUUUGGGAAGUUACAAUCCAAUGCUAUCAUUAGCUCUGGCCAGUGUGAGUUCUUUCAGGUUAGCUUCUGUGCCUUUUGACAUGCCCCAUCCUUUUUGAGCACAUCACUUGCUGACAUCAUAAGAUGCUCUAGAUUCAUUCGUGUGUUGUUUGUUUUCAGAGGUGUAAGGUUCAUGCUUUCUGUUCCUUAGGUUAAAUUGUACUUCCCCAGUUGAGCUCAUGCUGCUUUUUACUUUGUGUGUUUGUGUGAUUUACAAACCCAGCCCUGGCAUUUAUUUCCCUUUUCCUAUUCCUCAAAUCUUUUCCUUCCCGUUGGUUUCCAUUAUUGUGGUGGCACCUGAGCUCUCUUUAAUCUGCCUCUAAGUAUAGUUCUUCCCAAGUACCCUUUUCCCCUUUUUUUUGUUCUUGCAUGCAUUCUUUGACCAUCUCAGCAGUUCCAUCAUGUUGAACCUCCUCACUCUUGUGCUCCAGGUGCCAUCCUCAUGCCUGGACAUUAAUGACCUGUGAGUACACUACAUGCCUUUUCCCAAACUGACCUGUUGUAGGUGGUGGAACAGCACUGGGUGUUAGAAUUAGGACAAAUGGUCCGGGUGGAAGGAAAAAUUUUUCGUUCUUAAAAAUUCCAAGUCAAA